rnacentral:rRNA from 1 species
UACGAAGGGGGCUAGCGUUGCUCGGAAUCACUGGGCGUAAAGCGCACGUAGGCGGGCUCUUAAGUCGGUGGUGAAAUCCUGGAGCUCAACUCCAGAACUGCCUCCGAUACUGAGAGUCUUCGAGUCCGGAAGAGGUGAGUGGAAUUCCGAGUGUAGAGGUGAAAUUCGUAGAUAUUCGGAGGAACACCAGUGGCGAAGGCGGCUCACUGGUCCGGUACUGACGCUGAGGUGCGAAAGCGUGGGGAGCAAACAGG